CACACAUCGCCGCAAAGCCAUCCAGAGCACUGCCAAGGAGAGGCAGCAUCGAAAGGAAGCAGGACGAGUUGAGGAGGUGCGACUGCAUACCCUCUGCACCGGCACAGCGACAGGCAUACAGACGAUUCCAUGUUUCACUUCGGUCUUAGAGGCCGCCUUGUGGCGAUGUCGGCAGCCUCGGUCGCUGCCCCGUUAAACAUCACGGCGCGCCGUCUGCUCUUCUCUUCCGGCAAUGCGUCUUCAUCAUCAGCGGCCUCGGUGACUGGCACACGUAGGUCCUCCGCAGGCGCCGCACGCGCACCUCUCUCUUCCUCAUUCACGUCCGCUCCGUCAGCAGGAAGGCACAAGGCCGUCAAGUCAAUGUUGCCGCCGGCAGCAUCAGCAGCAGCAGACAGCAUCCACAAGUUCAGCGACGACAAGGCAGAAGCCUCCGCGUACGUUUGCGGCGCUGACGACGUUCCUUCGUACUCCAGUGCUUCGCACAUGAGCUACCUCAUGCUGCACAGCCGCCGCCUCUGGCUGCCUCUGGUGCUCUACGCCUGCUACUACGCACUGUCGGCGUACCUCAACCCAGUGCAGGCGGGUCUUUACGCGACGGCCAGUGUUGUGGUGCAGCGACUAAGCGUACACGGACGCAGAAACAAGGUUCACAAGGACAUGACCGGCUACACGUGCGUCGUGACAGGCGGCACGAGCGGCAUUGGCCUCUACACGGCGAUGCAACUGCUGGAUAUGGGCGCCCACGUCAUAAUCGCUGCGCCUUCAGGAAAGGAGAAGGAGACGAUGGAUUUCCUACAGCGAAACUGCCUCGUUGGUGCGCCGGCUGCAACCGCGACGGUCGCGUCCUCCUCCGCUUCACCUGAGUGUGAGCCUCUCGAGAACCGCGUCACCUUCAUCGCCAUGGACUACAUGGACCAGCUGGAGGUGAUGGCAGCUGCCGCGCGCAUCAAGGCCCUCACGCACGACCGCAUCGACCUCCUCGUGAACUGCGCGGGUGUGUGGAAGGAGGAGCCGACCGUGACGAAGCAGAAGUUUGAGGAGCACAUCGGCGUCAACUUCCUCGGGCCGUUCCACUUCACCGAGGCGCUGCUCCCGUCCCUGCGCAAGUCAUCGCAUAGGUGCGGCCGCAUCGUGUACGUCACGUGCGCCUCACACAACGGCGUCUCCAGAGGGAACGUGGUGCGUGAGCGCAUGAUGCUGCUGCCGGGGCCGAACGAGUUGCAGAUCACCGCGCGUUGCUACAGUGCGUCGAAGCUCGGCAACAUUUACCAUGCUCAGUCCAUUGCGAACCGCCGCUAUGAAGGCAUCCCGCUGAACCGCCAGAGCGAUCUGCACCCCGUCGAUGUAUGCUGCGCCGACCCGGGCUUCUGCUUCACCUCACUGCAGCAAGCAAAUGUGAACCCGUUUCUCGGCAACAGCAUCGUCGCCCGCACGCUUCGGUCUCUGUGGAUCAAGGAUGCGUACGAGGGUAGCCAAACUGUUGUGAACUGCUGCGUACGCGACACGAUCGAGAACGGCGGCUACUACGCCGAGUGUGCGCUGAUGCCAAGUGGGCUCAGCAAGCGCGCGAAAGACCCAAAGAGCCGCGACGAUGUAGUGCACUGGGCUAUGGCGAAGACGAUUGCCAAGUACUACACGGUACAACCGGAGUAAGAGUCACCCAUCGAUGGAUGCGUUGGAGUACGGGGGGGGGGUCAGUGCGUAUGUCCAUGUGUACGUGUUAUUUUGGUUCUCGUGGCGUGCUGAUGGACUUCAAGGUAAAGUGGGUGAGGGUUGAUCAGGGGGCGGUUGUCGCCAGAGCGUCUUUGUACGAGUGGCUAAGUAGCACAACAAGAGCAGUAACACGAAGAAGAUGGUCAAAUGCUAGAUCCGCAGCGCUGGGCAUGAGGAGGGGGAAAAAGGAGGCGGCGGGGCAAGUGCUGUGCACCAAUUCCGCCUCGCUCUGCGUACGCGUGCCCGCACGCGUGUGAGAGCACACAUACUCACCUCAAGGAAGGAGUAGUGAAUGUGGGCGCGCCUCGCUGCGCCCUCCCCCUCCCCCCUCGCACCCGCAUCUACCAUCUCCUGUGCUCGUGUGUGUGGAGGAGGGGGGAGGAGGGCGUAUGUGCGUGUAUAUCCUCUACGUUGCUCCCUAGGUGUCUCCUCUCUUCCUGAAACUCUUGCGUGGAUAG
rnacentral:misc_RNA from 1 species